CGGCACGGGUGAGUAACGCGUAUGCGACCUGCCCGUUGCAGGGGGAUAAUCGGGAGAAAUCCCGUCUAAUACCGCGUAACGCCGCGGGGCUGCAUGGCCCUGCGGCCAAAGGGAGCGAUUCCGGCAACGGAUGGGCAUGCGUGACAUUAGCUAGUUGGCGGGGCAACGGCCCACCAAGGCGACGAUGCCUAGGGGUUCUGAGAGGAAGGUCCCCCACACUGGUACUGAGACACGGACCAGACUCCUACGGAAGGCAGCAG
rnacentral:rRNA from 1 species